GUUGUAUGGUUAAGUGACUAAGCGUACACGGUGGAUGCCUUGGCAGUCAGAGGCGAUGAAAGACGUAGUAACUUGCGAUAAGCCCAGAUUAGGUAGUAACAACCAUUUGAGUCUGGGAUUUCUGAAUGGGGAAACCCACUUACAUAAGUAAGUAUCCUUACCUGAAUACAUAGGGUAAGGAGGCGAACCGGGGGAACUGAAACAUCUAAGUACCCCGAGGAAAAGAAAUCAACCGAGAUUCCGAAAGUAGCGGCGAGCGAAAUUGGACUAGCCCUUAAGCUUUACAC
rnacentral:rRNA from 1 species